rnacentral:precursor_RNA from 1 species
CUCUUUUUCACGUGAACAUUUAGAACACACUUUAUUCGUGUAUGUCUUCGUGACUGAUAGACUCGCAUGUAGUCUAUAACGUGUCAAGUAACGACAAAUAUAUACAUGUAUAAGGUGUGUUUCUGAAUGUUUACGUGUAAAGAA